rnacentral:rRNA from 1 species
AUACGAAGGGGGCUAGCGUUGUUCGGAAUCACUGGGCGUAAAGGGCGCGUAGGCGGCCGAUCAAGUCGGGGGUGAAAGCCUGUGGCUCAACCACAGAAUGGCCUUCGAUACUGGUUGGCUCGAGACCGGAAGAGGUGAGUGGAACUGCGAGUGUAGAGGUGAAAUUCGUAGAUAUUCGCAAGAACACCAGUGGCGAAGGCGGCUCACUGGUCCGGUUCUGACGCUGAGGCGCGAAAGCGUGGGGAGCAAACA